GCUCACUGCUGCCUCAAACUCCUAGACUCAAGCAAUCCUCCUGCUUCAGCCUCCCGAGUAGCUGGGACUACAGUUUCCCCAUGUGUAUGCUGUGGUAUUGGAUCAGCAACGAGAUAAGAAGAUCUCUCCCAUUUCCAAGCGUCUAUGAUGAUUCUGAGGCACAAGGUCACAUUUGACAGUACUAGGAAACCCAGGAAACAAGAAGCAAAGAUGACAAAGGCUGUGUCUGCCUGGGCAGACGAUCUAUUUGGACAAGAUAAUAGACCCAGGCAUGGACAUGCUCUCCAAGAAAGAUGCCCUGACAGCUGCUCACACUGAAGCUGAAUCGAACAUUCCAAUCCUUAGAGGUUCCAGCGAAGAUCUUGAAGUCUCCCUGAGCCAUUGACACAAUGGCCAUGCCAUCCCAGUGAUAAAACACAAAUUGUGGCCUUGUUUUGGACAGAAAUAAAGAGCCCAGUUUGUUAGUGAUUUACUGAU
rnacentral:lncRNA from 1 species